AUACAAAAUCAUCCUCCAAGAUACUGCAGUUAUUUAAUUGAUCUGCCCUAUUUCUAUCCAAGGAACAAGCUUUUGCCUUCUUCGAUUCCGCCUGCUGCUCUUCUGCCCUGUGCUAUCCGGUUCUGCCCUAAUUUCCACCUUAUUGUGGUUUAUUGGCUAAGAUAAAGUACUGUUUAGAAUCUUUACAUGUAUGGUUGACUAAUGACUUUAUUUAGAA